rnacentral:rRNA from 1 species
ACAGGCUUAACACAUGCAAGUCGAGGGGCAGCAUUUUAGUUUGCUUGCAAACUGAAGAUGGCGACCGGCGCACGGGUGAGUAACACGUAUCCAACCUGCCGAUAACUCCGGAAUAGCCUUUCGAAAGAAAGAUUAAUACCGGAUAGCAUACGAAUAUCGCAUGAUAUUUUUAUUAAAGAAUUUCGGUUAUCGAUGGGGAUGCGUUCCAUUAGUUUGUUGGCGGGGUAACGGCCCACCAAGACUACGAUGGAUAGGGGUUCUGAGAGGAAGGUCCCCCACAUUGGAACUGAGACACGGUCCAAACUCCUACGGGAGGCAGCAGUGAGGAAUAUUGGUCAAUGGGCGAGAGCCUGAACCAGCCAAGUAGCGUGAAGGAUGAAGGCUCUAUGGGUCGUAAACUUCUUUUAUAUGGGAAUAAAGUUUUCCACGUGUGGAAUUUUGUAUGUACCAUAUGAAUAAGGAUCGGCUAACUCCGUGCCAGCAGCCGCGGUAAUACGGAGGAUCCGAGCGUUAUCCGGAUUUAUUGGGUUUAAAGGGAGCGUAGGUGGAUUGUUAAGUCAGUUGUGAAAGUUUGCGGCUCAACCGUAAAAUUGCAGUUGAAACUGGCAGUCUUGAGUACAGUAGAGGUGGGCGGAAUUCGUGGUGUAGCGGUGA